rnacentral:lncRNA from 1 species
CUCAUUGUGACGUCACAUUACAUGAUAACUUUCUCAAAACCUUCAAGAUCUUGGCAGAUACGGUGUAUUGAAAUAUAAACCAGUGCAUAUAUAUGUGUUAUGUCAACGUAGGCUAUACAACAAAUACAUAUUAUAUAUUUUAUACAUAUUGGUGGUAUUUUCCACAAACGAAAAAGCAAAACGAAUAUAAAUUUCAAUUACAUAGGAUAUAUUUCCCUGUCAUCAUUUACGAAUUUGUUCGUUGAACUAAUUGUUUAAAAUUUAAAAUUUCUAUCAUUCCCUGCCAUAUUUACAAUUGAUUAAUAUAUUUCAUAAUAUUAAGACUGUUUUCUACCAGUGAAUCAAAACAUUUUGUAAAUCUAAGAUUCAAGGAAACGUAAUGUUAAUAUGAAUGGUUCAAUGGUUAAUUUGAAAUUAUAGUGUCUUCAAGAUUUAAAUAAUCGACGAAUACUGUGAUUUAUAACCGAUGCAGCAUUUAAUUCCAAAAGAAUUCUUUUCGACGGAAUUAUUCACCGUUUGUUCUGAAAACUAAUAUAGUAUAUUGCAUAAUACAAUAUACUGCAUAAUAUAU